GAUGAACGCUGGCGGCGUGCCUAAUACAUGCAAGUCGAGCGAACAGACGAGGAGCUUGCUCCUCUGACGUUAGCGGCGGACGGGAGAGUAACAUGUGGAUAACCUACCUAUAAGACUGGGAUAACUUCGGGAAACCGGAGCUAAUACUGUAUAAUAUAUUCAACCGCAUGGUUCAAUAGUGAAAGACGGUUUUGCUGUCACUUAUAGAUGGAACCGCGCCGCUUUAGCUAGUUGGUAAGGUAACGGCUUACCAAGGCGACGAUGCGUAGCCGACCUGAGAGGGUGAUCGGCCACACUGGAACUGAGACACGGUCCAGAGUCCUACGGGAGGCAGCAGUAGGGAAUCUUACGCAAUGGGCGAAAGCCUGACGGAGCAACGCCGCGUGAGUGAUGAAGGUCUUCGGAUCGUAAAACUCUGUUAUUAGGGAAGAACAAAUGUGUAAGUAACUAUGCACGUCUUGACGGUACCUAAUCAGAAAGCCACGGCUAACUACGUG
rnacentral:rRNA from 1 species